UACGUAGGGGGCAAGCGUUGUCCGGAAUCAUUGGGCGUAAAGCGCGUGUAGGCGGUUCGGUAAGUCGGCUGUGAAAGUCCAGGGCUCAACCCUGGGAUGCCGGUCGAUACUGCCGGACUAGAGUUCGGAAGAGGCGAGUGGAAUUCCCAGUGUAGCGGUGAAAUGCGUAGAUAUUGGGAGGAACACCAGUGGCGAAGGCGGCUCGCUGGACCGGAACUGACGCUGAGGCGCGAAAGCGUGGGGAGCAAACAGG
rnacentral:rRNA from 1 species